AUUGAACGCUGGCGGCAUGCUUUACACAUGCAAGUCGAACGGUAACAGGCCUUCGGGUGCUGACGAGUGGCGAACGGGUGAGUAAUGCAUCGGAACGUGCCCAGAGGUGGGGGAUAACGCAGCGAAAGCUGUGCUAAUACCGCAUGUGAUCUGAGGAUGAAAGCGGGGGACCAGGCAGCAAUGUUUGGCCUCGCGCCUUUGGAGCGGCCGAUGUCAGAUUAGGUAGUUGGUGGGGUAAAGGCCUACCAAGCCGACGAUCUGUAGCUGGUCUGAGAGGACGACCAGCCACACUGGGACUGAGACACGGCCCAGACUCCUAAGGGAGGCAGCAGUGGGGAAUUUUGGACAAUGGGCGCAAGCCUGAUCCAGCAAUGCCGCGUGCGGGAAGAAGGCCUUCGGGUUGUAAACCGCUUUUGUACGGAACGAAAAGGCUCUGGCUAAUACCUGGGGCUGAUGACGGUACCGUAAGAAUAAGCACCGGCUAACUACGUG
rnacentral:rRNA from 1 species